rnacentral:rRNA from 1 species
UACGUAGGCAGCGAGCGUUGUUCGGAGUUACUGGGCGUAAAGGGUGUGUAGGCGGUUUUCUAAGUUUGGUGUGAAAUCUCCCGGCUCAACCGGGAGGGUGCGCCGAAUACUGAAUGACUUGGAGUGCGGGAGAGGAGAGUGGAAUUCCUGGUGUAGCGGUGAAAUGCGUAGAUAUCAGGAGGAACACCGGUGGUGUAGACGGCUCUCUGGACCGUAACUGACGCUGAGACACGAAAGCGUGGGUAGCAAACAGG